CCCUUAGAUGUUCUGGGCUGCACGCGCGCUACACUGAUGCGUUCAACGAGUGUAUCACCUUUUCCGAUAGGAAUGGGUAAUCUUCUGAACACGCAUCGUGAUGGGGAUAGAUUAUUGCAAUUAUUAAUCUUCAACGAGGAAUGCCUAGUAAGCGCAAGUCAUCAGCUUGCGUUGAUUACGUCCCUGCCCUUUGUACACACCGCCCGUCGCUCCUACCGAUUGAAUGGUCCGGUGAAGCGUUCGGACCGUGGCCUUUGGACGGUUCGCCGUCUGUUGGCUGCGGGAAGUUCGUUAAACCUUAUCAUUUAGAGGAAGGAGAAGUCGUAACA
rnacentral:rRNA from 1 species